GUGCUUAACACAUGCAAGUCGAACGGAAAGGCCCUUCGGGGUACUCGAGUGGCGAACGGGUGAGUAACACGUGGGUGAUCUGCCCUGCACUUUGGGAUAAGCCUGGGAAACUGGGUCUAAUACCGAAUAUGACCACGCGCUUCAUGGUGUGUGGUGGAAAGCUUUUGCGGUGUGGGAUGGGCCCGCGGCCUAUCAGCUUGUUGGUGGGGUAAUGGCCUACCAAGGCGACGACGGGUAGCCGGCCUGAGAGGGUGACCGGCCACACUGGGACUGAGAUACGGCCCAGACUCCUACGGGAGGCAGCAGUGGGGAAUAUUGCACAAUGGGCGCAAGCCUGAUGCAGCGACGCCGCGUGAGGGAUGACGGCCUUCGGGUUGUAAACCUCUUUCAAUAGGGACGAAGCGCAAGUGACGGUACCUAUAGAAGAAGGACCGGCCAACUACGUGCCAGCAGCCGCGGUAAUACGUAGGGUCCGAGCGUUGUCCGGAAUUACUGGGCGUAAAGAGCUCGUAGGUGGUUUGUCGCGUUGUUCGUGAAAUC
rnacentral:rRNA from 2 species